rnacentral:rRNA from 1 species
UACGUAGGGUGCAAGCGUUGUCCGGAAUUAUUGGGCGUAAAGAGCUCGUAGGCGGUUUGUCGCGUCUGCUGUGAAAACUCGGGGCUUAACUCCGGGCCUGCAGUGGGUACGGGCAGACUAGAGUGCGGUAGGGGAGACUGGAAUUCCUGGUGUAGCGGUGAAAUGCGCAGAUAUCAGGAGGAACACCGGUGGCGAAGGCGGGUCUCUGGGCCAUAACUGACGCUGAGGAGCGAAAGCAUGGGGAGCGAACAGG